rnacentral:tRNA from 9 species
GGUCCUAUAGCUCAGUUGGUUAGAGCACCUGACUCAUAAUCAGGGAGUCCUUGGUUCAAGCCCAAGUGGGACCACUA